rnacentral:rRNA from 1 species
AACCUGGUUGAUCCUGCCAGUAGUCAUAUGCUUGUCUCAAAGACUAAGCCAUGCACGUCUAAGUACAAACUAAAUGAUGGUGAAACUGCAAAUGGCUCAUUACAACGGUUAUGAUGUACCCGGGAGUUCCGAUGGAUAUUUCCAGUAACACUAGAACUAAUACAUGCUCCUGCGUUUAUUAGUUUCGCACAGUCCGUCGCUGAGUCAUGGUAAACAGUUGAUCGACUCGACGUCCCGGAACAGUUUCCGCCCCAUCAGCUUCGAUGGUUGGGUAUUGGCCUACCAUUGCAACAACGGGUAACGAGGAAUUAGGGUUCGAUUUCGGAGAGGGAGCCUGAGAAACGGCUACCCCCUCUUCGGAUGG